GACAGAGGGUGCAAACGUUGUUCGGAAUUACUGGGCGUAAAGCGCGUGUAGGCGGUGGUGCAAGUCGGGUGUGAAAGCCCUCGGCUCAACCGGGGAAGUGCACUCGAAACUGCAUGACUAGAGUCUCGGAGAGGAUAGUGGAAUUCUCGGUGUAGAGGUGAAAUUCGUAGAUAUCGAGAGGAACACCGGUGGCGAAGGCGGCUAUCUGGACGAUGACUGACGCUGAGACGCGAAAGCGUGGGGAGCAAACAGG
rnacentral:rRNA from 1 species